GCAUAUCAAUAAGCGGAGGAAAAGAAACCAACAGGGAUUGCCCCAGUAACGGCGAGUGAAGCGGCAAGAGCUCAAAUUUGAAAGCUGGCUCCUUCGGGGUCCGCAUUGUAAUUUGCAGAGGAUGCUUCGGGAGCGGUCCCCAUCUAAGUGCCCUGGAACGGGACGUCAUAGAGGGUGAGAAUCCCGUAUGGGAUGGGGUGUCCGCGCCCGUGUGAAGCUCCUUCGACGAGUCGAGUUGUUUGGGAAUGCAGCUCUAAAUGGGUGGUAAAUUUCAUCUAAAGCUAAAUAUUGGCCGGAGACCGAUAGCGCACAAGUAGAGUGAUCGAAAGAUGAAAAGCACUUUGAAAAGAGAGUUAAAAAGCACGUGAAAUUGUUGAAAGGGAAGCGCUUGCGACCAGACUCGCUCGCGGGGUUCAGCCGGCAUUCGUGCCGGUGUACUUCCCCGCGGGCGGGCCAGCGUCGGUUUGGGCGGUCGGUCAAAGGCCCUCGGAAGGUAACGCCCCUAGGGGCGUCUUAUAGCCGAGGGUGCAAUGCGACCUGCCUAGACCGAGGAACGCGCUUCGGCUCGGACGCUGGCAUAAUGGUCGUAAGCGACCCGUCUUGAAACACGGACC
rnacentral:rRNA from 1 species